rnacentral:rRNA from 1 species
CAGGAUGAACGCUGGCGGUAUGCUUAACACAUGCAAGUCGAACGGUGUUUAGGACACAGUGGCGGACGGGUGAGUAACGCGUGAGAAUCUAGCUUCAGGUCUGGGACAACCACUGGAAACGGUGGCUAAUACCGGAUGUGCCGAGAGGUGAAAGGCUUGCUGCCUGAAGAUGAGCUCGCGUCUGAUUAGCUAGUUGGUGGGGUAAGAGCCUACCAAGGCGACGAUCAGUAGCUGGUCUGAGAGGAUGAUCAGCCACACUGGGACUGAGACACGGCCCAGACUCCUACGGGAGGCAGCAGUGGGGAAUUUUCCGCAAUGGGCGAAAAAGCCUGACGGAGCAAUACCGCGUGAGGGAGGAAGGCUCUUGGGUUGUAAACCUCUUUUCUUAGGGAAUAAAAUUGAAGGUACCUAAGGAAUAAGCAUCGGCUAACUCCGUGCCAGCAGCAGC